rnacentral:rRNA from 1 species
GUACAACUCUGAGCGGUGGAUCACUCGGCUCGUGUGUCGAUGAAAAGCGCAACAAGCA